UGGGGAAUAUUGCACAAUGGGCGCAAGCCUGAUGCAGCAACGCCGCGUGAGGGACGACGGCCUUCGGGUUGUAAACCUCUUUUAGUAGGGAAGAAGCGAAAGUGACGGUACCUGCAGAAAAAGCACCGGCUAACUACGUGCCAGCAGCCGCGGUAAUACGUAGGGUGCGAGCGUUGUCCGGAAUUAUUGGGCGUAAAGAGCUCGUAGGCGGUCUGUCGCGUCUGCUGUGAAAUCCCGAGGCUCAACCUCGGGCCUGCAGUGGGUACGGGCAGACUAGAGUGCGGUAGGGGAGAAUGGAAUUCCUGGUGUAGCGGUGGAAUGCGCAGAUAUCAGGAGGAACACCGAUGGCGAAGGCAGUUCUCUGGGCCGUAACUGACGCUGAGGAGCGAAAGCGUGGGGAGCGAACAGGAUUAGAUACCCUGGUAGUCCACGCCGUAAACGUUGGGCGCUAGAUGUGGGGACCAUUCCACGGUUUCCGUGUCGCAGCUAACGCAUUAAGCGCCCCGCCUGGGGAGUACGGCCGCAAGGCUA
rnacentral:rRNA from 1 species